GUGGAAGUUAAGAACUCUUAACUUUCCUUGGCUGCCAAAGCACAGGCAGGUGACUUGGACUCUACCAGACACAUCACGAGACUCCAGGAAAUUUGUCUGAGAAUGACUGAAGAACAACUGGAAGAAAAAGAAGAAAGGCUGAUACGGUGCACGGAGAGAACGGUGAUGGCUUCGCAGUGGCUUCGUGGUUCUCGGCCCCAUCAAGCAAGCAGCAGAACUUGGCAAUUCAGCGACAUGGCUCUGGAUUUAGAGUCAAGGAUACAAAAAAGUAGAUGAUCCUCUCUCCCUCCCAGCAGCUAAGAAAAGCCAGUCCAGCCUGGACUUGUCCAAUGACUGGCUCCUUUAUUCAUUAGGGGAUUGGUUCACAAGAAGUCACCUGAGAAGGACUCAUUCCUUGUCCACAACCCCGCCCAGGAGAGCAGAAUUAGCAUCAACAUACAAACAGUGGCCUUGUGGGAGCAUAUCCUGUGGGGGCAGACUCUGAGAUCCCCUAAGCUCAAGCUACACCCAGUAUGGUGUGCAGUCUCCUUCUGCUGCCUCGAGACAAAGAUGUAGAAUUCCCAGCUCAUUCUCCACCACCAUGUCUGCCUGCACGCUGCCAUGCUUCCUAGUAGGAUGAUGAUAAUGGACUGAACCUCUGAAACAAAGCCAGCUCCAAUGAAAUGUUUGCCUUUAU
ensembl:processed_transcript